rnacentral:pre_miRNA from 1 species
AGGAGGAACAACCACGGUGGCGGCAGCCAGCUCUUGAGCCCUGGAAUUAGGUCCCGCAGUAACUAGGGAGCUCUCUGUCUGCAGGUGCCUGGAUGCUCGGGGGUCCA